AAAGGUCAUCAGACAAAGGUCACACUAUCUUCACGAGGAUGCUCUCCAGAUGAUAUGGAGACUAUUUACAAUACCAUUGAAGCAAAUGUAGUGGGUUUUGGAGGCCGCAUUCUGCAGCGACGUGUUAAGGCUGGAGACAUUAAAUUUUUUAUUGCACCUGCCAAAGAAGCUAAGACAGAAAACAUUGGUAAUUUAAAAGCAGAAACGAACAACCUCCAAAGACAGCAGAGAGAAAUCAAGAUCUGAACCCUGACUAUGAAGUAUCUGAUCUUGGAAGAAAAAUGGAAAGUUGAGGAUGCACAUGAAUUUUGAGGAUAAUUUCUCCAUGGGUUGGUGAUAUUCAACUGGUAACUUACAAAUGCUGAAAAGUAUUCUCCAGCAUUUUAAGUGUUAAGUUAAAAAAGACAUCUGAGGAUAAAACUAAAUAUUGUGAAACAAUGUUUAUGUAAAUAGGAAAUAUUUUUAGAAGUAUGUUGAUAUAAAUAAAAUUUUGUUAAUAUUC